GACGAACGCUGGCGGCGUGCUUAACACAUGCAAGUCGAGCGGUAAGGCCUUUCGGGGUACACGAGCGGCGAAAAGGUGAGUAACACGUGGGGGAUCUACCCUGCAGUUCACGAUAAGCCUGGGAGACGGUGACUAAUACCAGAGAUGACCUCCUAUCGCAUGUUGGGUGUAGUAAAGAUUUAUUGGUGCAGGAUGGGUCCGGGGGCUAUCACCUUGUGGGGGGGGUAAUGGGCCACCAAGGGGACGACGGGGGGCCGACCUGAGAGGGUGACCGGCCACAGUGGGCCAGAGAAACGACCCAGACUGCUACGGGAGGCAGCAGUGGAGAAUAUACCACACUGGGCCGAAGCCUGGAGCAGCGUCGCCGCGUCGUGGAUGACGGCCUUCGGGGUGUAAACCUCUUUCAGCAGGGACGUAGCGAAAGUGACGGUACCUUCAGAAGAAGCGCCGGCUAACUACGUG
rnacentral:rRNA from 1 species